CCUACGGGUGGCUGCAGUGAGGAAUAUUGCACAAUGGGCGAAAGCCUGAUGCAGCAACGCCGCGUGAGGGAUGACGGUCUUCGGAUUGUAAACCUCUGUCCUCAGUGAAGAAAAAAAUGACGGUAGCUGAGGAGGAAGCCACGGCUAACUACGUGCCAGCAGCCGCGGUAAUACGUAGGUGGCAAGCGUUGUCCGGAAUUACUGGGUGUAAAGGGAGCGCAGGCGGGCGUGCAAGUCAGCUGUGAAAUCCAUGGGCUUAACCCGUGGGCUGCAGUUGAAACUGUAUGUCUUGAGUGAAGUAGAGGUAGGCGGAAUUCCGAGUGUAGCGGUAAAAUGCGUAGAUAUUCGGAGGAACACCGGUGGCGAAGGCGGCCUACUGGGCUUUAACUGACGCUGAGGCUCGAAAGUGUGGGGAGCAAACAGGAUUAGAUACCCCAGUAGUC
rnacentral:rRNA from 1 species